rnacentral:rRNA from 1 species
AUUGAACGCUGGCGGCAGGCCUAACACAUGCAAGUCGAGCGGAUGAAGGGAGCUUGCUCCUGGAUUCAGCGGCGGACGGGUGAGUAAUGCCUAGGAAUCUGCCUGGUCGUGGGGGAUAACGUCCGGAAACGGGCGCUAAUACCGCAUACGUCCUGAGGGAGAAAGUGGGGGAUCUUCGGACCUCACGCUAUCAGAUGAGCCUAGGUCGGAUUAGCUAGUUGGUGGGGUAAAGGCCUACCAAGGCGACGAUCCGUAACUGGUCUGAGAGGAUGAUCAGUCACACUGGAACUGAGACACGGUCCAGACUCCUACGGGAGGCAGCAGUGGGGAAUAUUAGACGAUGGGCGAGAGCCUGAUCCAGCCAAGCCGCGUGUGUGAAGAAGGUCUUCGGAUUGGAAAGCGCUGUAAGUUGGGAGGAAGGGCAGUAAGUUAAUACCUUGCUGUAUUGACGUUACCAACAGAAUAAGCACCGGCUAACUUCGUG